GACGAACGCUGGCGGCGUGCUUAACACAUGCCAGUCGAACGGAAAGGCCCUGCUUUUGUGGGGUGCUCGAGUGGCGAACGGGUGAGUAACACGUGAGUAACCUGCCCUUGACUUUGGGAUAACUUCAGGAAACUGGGGCUAAUACCGGAUAGGAGCUCCUGCUGCAUGGUGGGGGUUGGAAAGUUUCGGCGGUUGGGGAUGGACUCGCGGCUUAUCAGCUUGUUGGUGGGGUAGUGGCUUACCAAGGCUUUGACGGGUAGCCGGCCUGAGAGGGUGACCGGCCACAUUGGGACUGAGAUACGGCCCAGAAUCCUACGGGAGGCAGCAGUGGGGAAUAUUGCACAAUGGGCGGAAGCCUGAUGCAGCAACGCCGCGUGCGGGAUGACGGCCUUCGGGUUGUAAACCGCUGUCGCCUGUGACGAAGCGUGAGUGACGGUAAUGGGUAAAGAAGCACCGGCUAACUACGUG
rnacentral:rRNA from 1 species